rnacentral:rRNA from 1 species
ACACGUGAGGGGCGAGCGUUGUUCGGAAUUAUUGGGCGUAAAGGGCGCGUAGGCGGUUUUACAAGCUUGGUGUGAAAGACCUCAGCUCAACUGAGGGACCGCGCUGGAAACUGUAAGACUAGAAUCUAGGAGGGGAAGCUGGAAUUCCUGGUGUAGGGGUGAAAUCUGUAGAUAUCAGGAAGAACACCGGUGGCGAAGGCGAGCUUCUGGCCAUAGAUUGACGCUGAGGCGCGAAAGCGUGGGGAGCGAACAGGAUUAGAAACCCCAGUAGUCC